AGCAUAAGAUAGGGUAGAUAACUCCAGGAAAAAAAUGACUUUAAAAUUGCUUAGGUCAUCACUCUUAUUACGCACGGGAUGCACGACGGUUGGAUAUACCUAUAUCAUUUAUUGAACAACUUAUUUUGACUUGAAAGGAUAUUGCAUGCAGAUCAUAAUAUAAUACAAUUAAUAUAAAUACAGAUAAUCAAGUUUCAAAGACCAUAUAUAUACAUCAUGUAUAAUGUUUAGAAGAAGUAAUAUUUGACAUCACCUUUAUGAGAAUCAAGUUUAUAAGACCACAUAUUAAGAUACAGGAAAUUUACAUUUAUUCUCGCUGAAAAGAGAAUCAAGUUUAGAAGACCUUAAUUAUUUACAUUAAGAUACAGGAAAUUUAUAUUUAAUCUUGCUGUUGAGAGAAUCAAGUUUAGAAGACCUUAAUUAUUUACAUUAAAAUACAGGAAAUUUAUAUUUAAUCUUGCUGUUGAGAGAAUCUGCAACCUUAGAAGACCAUAUAUUUAUAUUAGAUACAGAAAAUUUAUAUUUUACCUCACUGUUAAGUAAUAUAUUGGAAUGAACUGGAGGGCCAAAUAGAGAACACAAACCUUGAAAAGUAUGACUUAACAGUGAAUGAAUUGAAAAAUGACAUAAGUGAAGGGACUUUAAAGAUUAUAUAUUGAUUUAAGAAAGAGACUAUAGUUUAUUUUAAUCAAACUUUUUAUAGUAAGUAAUAAAAAUGAAUAAGAGUUAUCUCUCUUUGCCAAGUCAAUUUUUGGGAAAUACCUAUUUGUUACUAUAUAAAGAUGCUUCAAUAACGUCCUUAAAAUAGCAUCCAAUCAAAAAGUGUAAUAUUUACAAUUUAGGUGAAGGUCUCCAGGUGAAUAUUUUAUGAAGAAAAGUAGAUUGUAGUGAAGUUGAAUUUUUUUCCUGAAGU